AUUGAACGCUGGCGGCAGGCUUAACACAUGCAAGUCGAACGGUAACGCGGGGCAACCUGGCGACGAGUGGCGAACGGGUGAGUAAUGUAUCGGAACGUGCCCAGUUGUGGGGGAUAACUGCUCGAAAGAGCAGCUAAUACCGCAUACGACCUGAGGGUGAAAGCGGGGGAUCGCAAGACCUCGCGCAAUUGGAGCGGCCGAUAUCAGAUUAGGUAGUUGGUGAGAUAAAGGCUCACCAAGCCGACGAUCUGUAGCUGGUCUGAGAGGACGACCAGCCACACUGGGACUGAGAUACGGCCCAGACUCCUACGGGAGGCAGCAGUGGGGAAUUUUGGACAAUGGACGCAAGUCUGAUCCAGCCAUGCCGCGUGCGGGAAGAAGGCCUUCGGGUUGUAAACCGCUUUUGUCAGGGAAGAAACGCUCUGGGUUAAUACCCCGGGGUAAUGACGGUACCUGAAGAAUAAGCACCGGCUAACUACGUGCCAGCCGCCGCCGUAACAC
rnacentral:rRNA from 1 species